UGCGCAGGCGGAAGAAUAAGUCAGUGGUGAAAUACUGCCGCUCAACGGUAGGGCUGCCAUUGAUACUGUUUUUCUUGAGUAUGGUUGAGGUAGGCGGAAUGUGCGGUGUAGCGGUGAAAUGCAUAGAUAUCGCCCAGAACGCCGAUUGCGAAGGCAGCUUACUAAGCCAUUACUGACGCUGAGGCACGAAAGCGUGGGUAGCGAACAGGAUUAGAUACCCUGGUAGUCC
rnacentral:rRNA from 1 species